ACCUGACCCGGGAAGUUUCGCGCUUCUUUUUCUGUGGUGUUAAAUAUAAGAAAACAAUGUCCAGCCUAGCACCACGACUUCUGAGUGGAGAGUUAGCUACAGUGACUGUACAACACAAAGAUGGCAAAGAAGAAGCUGAAUUUGAAUGGAUUGACAUUUUUCCUAGUUCCUGAACAACAAUAAAACUUUUGUGUGUUUUUUGAUUGUUGCAGGAAGAAAAUGUUGUAGAUUAGAUAACCUAUAGAGGAAGGGUGUUUCUAAGCCUCGGUGAGGUGGGACGAGUGCUGAUUGGGCGUGCCCGCACUCCGAGCACCAACAAACGUCAAGAAUGGCAAGGUUUCACCUAACCUAGAUAGGUGUUACAAAGUGUGAUUAAAAUGGAAGCCUAUUGUUUAACAAAUGAUGCCUAAGAUUGGAUGUGGCUUAGCUAGGUGUUCAAGAAUUUAGGUAUCAGUAUUACUGUUUAUUCAAAGAACUAAAGUGUUAAAUAACUGAUAACUUCA